CGCGGCCUAUCAGCUUGUUGGUGGGGUAGUGGCUUACCAAGGCUUUGACGGGUAGCCGGCCUGAGAGGGUGACCGGCCACAUUGGGACUGAGAUACGGCCCAGACUCCUACGGGAGGCAGCAGUGGGGAAUAUUGCACAAUGGGCGGAAGCCUGAUGCAGCAACGCCGCGUGCGGGAUGACGGCCUUCGGGUUGUAAACCGCUUUCGCCUGUGACGAAGCGUGAGUGACGGUAAUGGGUAAAGAAGCACCGGCUAACUACGUGCCAGCAGCCGCGGUGAUACGUAGGGUGCGAGCGUUGUCCGGAUUUAUUGGGCGUAAAGGGCUCGUAGGUGGUUGAUCGCGUCGGAAGUGUAAUCUUGGGGCUUAACCCUGAGCGUGCUUUCGAUACGGGUUGACUUGAGGAAGGUAGGGGAGAACGGAAUUCCUGGUGGAGCGGUGGAAUGCGCAGAUAUCAGGAGGAACACCAGUGGCGAAGGCGGUUCUCUGGGCCUUUCCUGACGCUGAGGAGCGAAAGCGUGGGGAGCGAACAGGCUUAGAUACCCUGGUAGUCCACGCUGUAAACGGUGGGUACUAGGUGUGGGGUCCAUUCCACGGGUUCCGUGCCGUAGCUAACGCUUUAAGUACCCCGCCUGGGGAGUACGG
rnacentral:rRNA from 1 species